GACGAACGCUGGCGGCGUGCUUAAUACAUGCAAGUCAACGACUUUUAGAGUAGCAAUAUUUUAAAAGGAGUGGCGCACGGGUGAGUAACACGUAGGUAAUCUGCCUUCAGGACUGACACAACUCGUCGAAAGACGGGCUAAUAUCAGAUAAUGCAGCGGCUCCGCAUGGAGACAGUUGUUAAAGUACAAGCGCCUGAAGAUGAGCCUGCGGUCCAUUAGCUAGUUGGUAGAGUAACAGCCUACCAAGGCAACGAUGGAUAGCUGGUCUGAGAGGAUGAUCAGCCACACUGGAACUGAGACACGGUCCAGACUCCUACGGGAGGCAGCAGUAAGGAAUAUUGCUCAAUGGCCGAAAGGCUGAAGCAGCAACGCCGCGUGAAGGAUGAAUGGCCUUUGGCCUGUAAACUUCUGUAAAAAGGGAAAAACAAUACAGGCAUGUCCUGAUUUGAUUGUACCUUUGAAGUAAGCCCCGGCUAACUACGUGCCAG
rnacentral:rRNA from 1 species